UACGGGAGGCAGCAGGGGGGAAUAUUGCACAAUGGGCGAAAGCCUGAUGCAGCUAUGCCGCGUGUAUGAAGAAGGCCUUAGGGUUGUAAAGUACUUUCAUCGGGGAGGAAAAAACAAAACUAAUAAUUUUAUUUCUUGACGUUACCCGAAAAAGAAGCACCGGCUAACUCCGUGCCAGCAGCCGCGGUAAUACGGAGGGUGCUAGCGUUAAUCAGAAUUACUGGGCGUAAAGAGCACGUAGGUGGUUUUUUUAAGUCAGAUGUGAAAUCCCUGGGCUUAACCUGGAACUGCAUUUUGAAACUGAAAUACUAGAGUAUCGUAGAGGGAGGUAGAAUUCUAGGUGUAGCGGUGAAAUGCGUAGAUAUCUGGAGGAAUACCUGUGGCGAAAGCGGCCUCCUAAACGAAUACUGACACUGAGGGUGCGAAAGCGUGGGGAGCAAACAGGGAUUUAGAUACC
rnacentral:rRNA from 1 species